rnacentral:rRNA from 1 species
AGUGAACGCUGGCGGUAUGCCUAACACAUGCAAGUCGAACGGCAGCACAGGAGAGCUUGCUCUCUGGGUGGCGAGUGGCGGAAGGGUGAGGAAUACAUCGGAAGCUACUCUGUCGUGGGGGAUCACGUCGGGAAACUUACGCUAAUACCGCAUACGACCUACGGGUGAAAGCAGGGGACCUUCGGGCAUUGCGCUAUGGAAUGAGACGAUGUCGGAUUAGCUAGUUGGCGGGGUAAAGGACCACCAAGGCGACGAUCCGUAGCUGGACUGAGAGGAUGAUCAGCCACACUGGAAAUGAGACACGAUCCAGACUCCUACGGGAGGCAGCAGUGGGGAAUAUUGGACAAUGGGCGCAAGCCUUAUCCAGCCAUACCGCGUGGGUGAAGAAGGCCUUCGGGUUGUAAAGCCCUUUUGUUGGGAAAGAAAUCCAGCUGGCUAAUACCCGGUUGGGAUGACGGUACCCAAAGAAUAAGCACCGGCUAACUUCGUGCCAGCCGCCGCCGUAA